AUAGAAGGAAGGUCAGAGAGAUAGGAUGUAUAAGAGAUUCUACCCACCAUUGUUAGCUUUGAAGAUGGAGGAAGGAGGCCAUGGUCACGAAAUGUGGGAAGCCUCUAGAAGCUGGAAAAGCUGCCCAGUUUGUGGUAACUUGUGACAGCAGCAAUAAGAAGCUAGGACUCUCACCUACCCACCCUAGGCAUCCUAGGCAUUACUAUCUGCUAUAAUGUAAGUGAUUUCCUUUUGAGGAAUUGGUCAUCUGUCUGUCAAUUCUGGUCCAUUUCUCUAAUUCUGCCAUCAUCCACGAAGGAUUUCGAUGCUGGCAUAAAUUACCAGUCCAAAAUCACCCUCACAACUCCUGGACCUCCACAAUUCUAACAAUCUGCAUUUCACUCCAGGUCAGCUGUGCACUCACAUGAUCUCAUCCUUGGUCCUUUAUGGCUCUCCAGUAUUUUCGCUUCUUAUCUUUCCAUCAUUCUCUCUCAGUUACACUGCACCAAUUCUUUAAUGUCUUCAUGACUCCAGUUCCUUGCCCCUUUUUGAAUACAGGUCUCUCACCCUCUCUUAACGUCAUUUCUUUCUCUACUCAGUCUGGGCUUCCUUGUUGAUUACUUGAAUUUCUGUCUCACCGACACUAUAACUUUGCCACAGUACAAUCCUUCUAGAUUAGCACAGACCAUAUACACCUCUAAUACACCAUUCCCUGCCUACUAUUAAAUCAUCUAUAAAAAUACAGAAAAACUUACCAAAGC
rnacentral:lncRNA from 1 species